GCAGCUGUAGCUCAGUUAGGUUAGAGCGUCGGAUUGUGGCUCCGAAGGUCGGUGGUUCGAGCCCACCCAGCUGUACCA
rnacentral:tRNA from 1 species